rnacentral:rRNA from 1 species
GAUGAACGCUGGCGGCGUGCCUAAUACAUGCAAGUAGAACGCUGAAGGAGGAGCUUGCUCUUCUGGAUGAGUUGCGAACGGGUGAGUAACGCGUAGGUAACCUGCCUGGUAGCGGGGGAUAACUAUUGGAAACGAUAGCUAAUACCGCAUGACAACAGUUAUUGCAUGAUAACUGUUUAAAAGGAGCAACUGCUCCACUACCAGAUGGACCUGCGUUGUAUUAGCUAGUUGGUGAGGUAACGGCUCACCAAGGCGACGAUACAUAGCCGACCUGAGAGGGUGAUCGGCCACACUGGGACUGAGACACGGCCCAGACUCCUACGGGAGGCAGCAGUAGGGAAUCUUCGGCAAUGGACGGAAGUCUGACCGAGCAACGCCGCGUGAGUGAAGAAGGGUUUCGGAUCGUAAAGCUCUGUUGUAAGAGAAGAACGAGUGUGAGAGUGGAAAGUUCACACUGUGACGGUAUCUUACCAGAAAGGGACGGCUAACUACGUG